rnacentral:rRNA from 1 species
GCGCCUUAUGCAUGCAAGUCGAGCGAAGCUUUUCAGUAGUUUACUACAGAAAAUGACUGAGCGGCGAACGGGUGAGUAACGCGUGAGCAACCUACCUUAGUUACUGGGAUAGCCCGAGGAAACUCGGAUUAAUACCGGAUAUUCUUAUUUAAUCACAUGAUUUUUUAAGGAAAGGUCAGCCGAACUAAGAUGGGCUCGCGUUCUAUCAGCUAGUUGGUAGGGUAAUGGCCUACCAAAGCUACGACGGAUAGCUGGUCUGAGAGGACGAUCAGCCACACUGGGACUGAGACACGGCCCAGACUCCUACGGGAGGCUGCAGCAGGGAAUAUUGCGCAAUGAGCGAAAGCUUGACGCAGCGACACCGCGUGUGGGAUGACGGAUCUAGGUUUGUAAACCACUUUCAGGAGGGAAGAAAAUGACGGUACCUCCACAAGAAGCCCCGGCCAACUACGU